rnacentral:lncRNA from 1 species
GUGUGGGGUUCUGGACGAUCGACAGAGAGGAGCAAGGAGGGGUGAAACCCUAACUUCACAAAAUCCACAAGAAUUACUACAAAUCUUAAGGAAAUCGAAAGAAUAAUCAUCAAAUUCUAAGCUCCUACACCUGUUCUUUGAAGUGGAAACCAAAAUUUACAUGGACUCAAGUAUGGAAGGCUAUCGGAUUAAGAGGAAAUGAGGAAGUUAUGCACAAACUUGGACGCACGAGGUCAAAUCAAUAG